rnacentral:rRNA from 2 species
GAGCGAACAAAGCGGGAGGCAGUCUCGUACAAAGCCCCGCUGCGUGAGCGGCGGACGGGUGAGUAACACGUGGGCAACCUGUCCUAUGCACAGGGAUAACGCACCGAAAGGUGUGCUAAUACCGGAUAAAGCGAGAUGUCCGCAUGGACGACUCGCCAAAGCUUUUGCGGCAUAGGAUGGGCCCGCGUCCCAUUAGCUAGUUGGUGAGGUAAUGGCUCACCAAGGCUGCGAUGGGUAGCCGACCUGAGAGGGUGAUCGGCCACACUGGAACUGAGACACGGUCCAGACUCCUACGGGAGGCAGCAGUGGGGAAUAUUGCACAAUGGGCGAAAGCCUGAUGCAGCAACGCCGCGUGAGCGAUGAAGGCCUUCGGGUCGUAAAGCUCUGUCCCAAGGGAAGAUAAUGACGGUACCUUGGGAGGAAGCCCCGGCUAACUACGUGCC